rnacentral:rRNA from 1 species
UACGUAGGGUGCAAGCGUUGUCCGGAAUUAUUGGGCGUAAAGAGCUCGUAGGCGGUCUGUCGCGUCUGCUGUGAAAACUCAGGGCUUAACCCUGAGCUUGCAGUGGGUACGGGCAGACUAGAGUGCGGUAGGGGAGACUGGAAUUCCUGGUGUAGCGGUGAAAUGCGUAGAUAUCUGGAGGAACACCGGUGGCGAAGGCGGCAUCCUGGACCAACACUGACACUGAGGAGCGAAAGCCAGGGGAGCAAACGGG